rfam:Oryza meridionalis cultivar OR44 (W2112) chromosome 10, whole genome shotgun sequence.
AAUAAGUGUAGUUCUGUUCAUGUCCAGCGUUUGACCGUUCGUCUUAUUUGAAUUUUUUUUAUGAUUAGUAUUUUUAUUGUUACUAGAUGAUAAAACAUGAAUAGUACUUUAUGUGUUGCUAAUUUUUUUUAAUGUUUUCAUAAAUUUUUCAAAUAAGACGGACGGUCGAACGUUGCAUACGGAUUCCCACGGCUGCACUUAUU